GUGAAUAUAGCGCGUCUCUUCGGAGAGCGUGACCUCCACUUCUAACUCUGUGCACUAUUUGGCGAGGUAGAGAAACGAAUCAUGUCGUCUCUCCUUGCGGCUCAUUUUAAACACUAGUUAAAGUAUGUAACGAAAUAUCGAAACUAAAA
rnacentral:misc_RNA from 1 species